UUCUUGUCAGUUUGAAUCAUGAGCCCACACUUGGUAGAGCCGAGUGGACAGGCACAGUGGGGGAAGGUGCCAUGUGCACACUAUCCCAGCCUCGUCAUGCGGGCCUCUUUCCCCGUCUCCCAAAUAACUCAACUGGCUUCAAGUUAUCUUCUUCUGAGAGGGCCUCUUUCCUCUUAGGCCAGUUAAUUUGCUUCUGACACUGAAUCUCCUUGUUGUCAAGCUUCUAAAAUUUUACUUUAAGGCUUCGUCUCUCUAUGCACGGCUUUUUUUUUUUUUUUUUCUUUUUCCAGAGCUGCAGCUGAGAAUAUCCAAUCCUGAAAUUCUCAAGGUUUUAAUGUUUUAAAAUACAUUUCUAAGGAUGAAAAUUCCUUUUUAGGCGUCCAAAUCAAAGGACUUUUGGAAGUCGUCAAGGAAAACUGAAAAUCUAGUAUAUGUUGUCCUCAAAGUAAUUUGUGUUUUUCUUUUUCUUAACUGAGCAUUAAAAGAAUGACAAAUAGAAUUAAUAAAAAAUGAAGUUUAGAAAUUUUGCUUAUGUAAUAAAGAAAACAAAAGCAUUUUAUUAUUUCAUGUCUUUAUUACUAAAAGUUCUCACUUUAGAUGUGUUUUUUUCUAAAGAAGGAAAAAGAACAACUUUUUAUUGAUUCAGGAUCCUAACAGAUGUCUGAAAAGUCAUGAACAAGCGAGACAUGCCUUGUAUGCUCAGGGGAGGAGAAACGUCACCAAUACAGAUAAGAAGAGAUGUUGAACUUUCACUGUUUUCCUGAACAAUGGAGAAAUUAUCUCCCUUCUUGAAAUGUUACUUUCUGAGAUCAGCUGAUGCUCAGGAAAAUAGAAAAGAACCCACAUUGAAUAUUGGGGGUGAAGUUUCCCCUGAUAAGUGACUACCCUAAUGAUACUUGAAUGGGUUCUAGUAACAAGACAAAUUUUCCACUGAGUAAGCAGCCCAGCUUCUAAUAUUGGUGGAACCCAAUGGAAGAGAACAAAUGGAGCCCUGCUACCAUAUAUACAGUACCCAUCUCUAAUGGCACAACCUGCAAUUCCUGAAGAUGUUCAAAUGAAUUCAGCGAGAGCUGUGGAUGAGAGUUCCCUUGG